UUUUCAGCACUUUGGCAUGGUUAGUUUGACAUUUCGCGUAAAUCACAGUGAACACUGCACGCAUUUGUCUCUCCAAAAGAAAAGAAAAAAAGAGAAAAAACACCGCACAAGGGCAUUAUAAGUAUUAUUAUGCAGCGCGCGUGCUGCUCCUCGGUGCCUUGAGCGCCAGCCUCACGCGCAGCCCCGGUUACCGAGCGACACCUUACCGUAAAUAAAUAACCAAUAAACAGUAACAAUAUAACACGCGUUAAACCCGCCUCCGCACCCAGCGCGAGACCCGAGCGGACAAACAGGCUCCGUAGAGCGGAUGUGAGGAAGUCAGGCAGCCGGCGCGCGGCGCUCCCAGGGCGGAUUGGAAUUCAGGCGAGGCCGCGGCUUCACACUGGGGCCCUGCUGUAACAUCAAUAGAGGAGGAGGGAGAGCGAGAGAAAGGAAGGAGGAAGACUUGACAUUCCAUCCUGCUAUUGAUUAGGCAAAGUGCAUUAACGACACACACCUGCUUUCCUGCACAGAACCUAGCUGCAUUAGUUGGAGUGCUUUUGUGUCAAUGCGGCGGUUUAGCCUCCGUUCUUAAAUCCUCCGAAAAAAUUACUUCUCCUCAUGAAAAACCCAGCACCGUCAUGGGCGGGAUCUACACAGAGGUAAUUUGCGUAGUGAGAUCAGGGAGUCCUUAAAAACCAAGGUACGUAUCUGACCCUGAGCACGAGGAGAUUUUCCCUAACGCAGUAGUAACUCGUUUUGACACGCUGUGCACGCCGCUAAUGAGUUUGUUCAAAGUGUGAGGUAGAGAAACAAAAGAGGAAGCUUUAAAGCAGCACAGAAUGUGUGUGUGUGUGUCAGGGAGAGAGAGUGUGAGACAAAACAAGGA